GCGAAUGUCCAUGUGCCGAAGGCCGAAGGGCCGAAGAGCCGAAGAGCCGAAGAGCCGAAGGGCCGAAGAGGACACCCGCGCGCGGUGAUUGGUCGGCUGGCAGUGGAGGAAAUCCGUAUCUGAUUGGCAGGAGAGUGGCGAACGCGGGGGGGCCGCGCGUGGAGAGGCCUCGGUGUCAGGGGUCGCUGGGAAGCAGGGGCUCUCGAUAGCAAGGCUUUCCCUGCCCUCGGGCGCCGGCAGCUGACCUCCGGACAAGCGCCGCCGAGUGGCGGCGGGGCGCCUCCGCGUCUCGGGGGUCUUCGCUUGCCCCGGGUGGAGGGCCUACCGCGGGAUAGCUCCAUUGGGAAGGGAGACUCCGGCUAGCGCGGCAGCGUCCGAGCUGGGGCAGUUUUGCGGCGCGGCGCUGCCUUAGGGGUAGGGGUGGGGGUGGGGGGCGGGGCUUGUUGGCCUCUGCAGGCUCAGGGAGGCAGGUGGCCCCGUCUAGUCGGCCAUCCACCCUGCAAAACCGCGGCUCGGGAGGCCCAACCGGGCGAGCUGGACGCGCUCGCAGCACUGGGGGCCGUGAGCUCCCGGCCGCAGGGUCGGUGUGAAUCACCCCAGAGCUCUUAGAAACACCGACAGCCAGGUUGCCCAGUUCUGGGGAAGUGAGGGGGGAUUUCUAGGACUGGGGCCCGACGGAAGGUAUUUUUUGAGCGUUCACCAGGCAAUUAUGUGUAGUCGGCGUUGAGAAUCGCCACUGCCUGCUCAUGGAUGGCACUGUCGGGCUGGUUUGAAGUCAGGUGCGUAAAGUUUCCUGCACACAGUAGGUCUUAAAAACGUUUGAGCUCGUCUCCCCUGGCCCCGCCUUCUCGCCAGGAGCAAUCAGUCCUACAAUAGCUGUAUUGAUAGACAUUGGAGAGCUCAUCCUGUAGAAGCAGUGAUGCAAGAAAGCUUCGGGUUUUUUUUUUUUUUAAUUAUCCCGUGGAACACUUGUUAUUCAGAAUUUAAAACAUUAUAGAUAAGAUAAAAGAACAUUUCUCAGUGAAGUCUAAUACUGUUCAAAUUCAUUUUUACCUGAAAGAUACACAGUUAACACCACAGAUAGCUGGAAUUUUCUUGUCUUCCAUACAUUAAGGAGUUCUCAGGUCAGGCCUAGGAGGAUGAUGGUGAUGGUUUCUCCAAAUAAUGAAAUUCCCACUAUGGGAACCAAGAGUACAAGUGAUAUAGAGUAGGAGCUCCAAGCUGAAAGGGUGUGUUGUUCCCUUAGGUACAGAAGGAGAGGUUUCUGCAGAGCUCGAGUCGGCCAGCUAGUAGCCACUAGCCACCUGAAGUGUGGGUAGGCCAGAUUGAGAUCUGCUCUAAGUGUAAAAUGCACACUGGAUUACUAAAAUAAGAGGCCAAGGAACUGAGGGCAGCUUCCAGCCAACAGCCAGAAAGGAACCAAGACCCUCAGUCCAGUAGCUUGUUAGGAACUGAGUCCUACCAAGGACCAGAACAUGAACUUAGAAGUGGACCCUUCUCUAGUUGAGCCUUGAGAUGCCUUCAGCCCCAGUGAACACCUUGACUGCAGCCUUCUGAGAGAUCCUGAGCCAGAGGACACUGUUAAACCUCACCCAGAUUCCUGAUCCAUAGAAUUAUGAGGUAAGGAGUCUCAGACCAAGGGAGAAGACAUGAUUUGCCCAAGAUUGCCCAACUAGUUGGAAUUAGAAACCAGCUCUUUGGAUCCAAGUCUGGAGUAUUAGUGAUGACGCUCUGAAUGGAAAAGAAAAACGUACUUCUGGUUAAUUAAAUGCAUAUCUAAACUUUAAAUAAAAACCAUUUCCUAUGCUGGGCUUCAAGAUGGCGGAGGAGUAAGACGUGGAGAUCACCUUCCUCCCCACAAAUACGUCAGAAAUACAUCUACAUGUGGAACAACUCCUACAGAACACCUACUGAAUGCUGGCAGAAGACCUCAGACUUCCCAAAAUACAUAUACUUUUUUUUUCCCUUUU